rfam:Picea glauca, whole genome shotgun sequence.
ACAUGCCUACAACAUAGUGGUAAUGCGCCAGAUCCCAUUAGAUCUCCAUAGUUAAGUGAGCUCAAGCCAAAGUAGUAUUUGGAUGGGUGACCAACCGAGAAGUCCUAGUAUUUUACAUGCC